UCCCUGCUGGCGCAAUGGUAGCGCGCAAGACUUCUAAUAGAUAUAUCUAUAUCUUAAAGUUCAUCUUGAGGCUGUAGGUUCGAGCCCUACGUAGGGAG
rfam:Botryotinia fuckeliana BcDW1 unplaced genomic scaffold Scaffold_305, whole genome shotgun sequence.